rnacentral:rRNA from 1 species
GUCUACGGCCAUGCCACCCUGAACAAACCCGAUCCCAUCUGAUCUCAGAAGCUAAGCAGGGUCGGGCCCGGUUAGUACUUGGAUGGGAGACCACCUAAGAAGACCAGAUGCUGUAGGCA